rnacentral:rRNA from 1 species
GGAACGCGCCAAGGAACUCAAACUGAAUCGCACGUCUCCCUCCCCCGUUCGCGGGCGGCGGCGGCGGCGUCAUUCCAUAACACAAACGACUCUCGGCAACGGAUAUCUCGGCUCUCGCAUCGAUGAAGAACGUAGCGAAAUGCGAUACUUGGUGUGAA